UGUAAAGUUCAAGCUCCGAUUAUGAGGGCGAUCCGCGAAUGGCUCAUUAAAUCAGUCAUAAUCUACUUGAUUGUUUAAAGGUUACAUGGAUAACUGUGGUAAUUCUAGAGCUAAUACAUGCACAAAAAGGACGACUCUCCGGCAACGGGGAGAAGUUCUGCGUUUAUUAGACUAAGACCAAUGGAUCGGGCAACCGAUUCCUCAUCUUGGUGACUCUGAGUAAAUAAUGGGUGAAAACCCAUGGUGCUGACCUGGCAUACCAAAAGGCUCUCACGAGUCUGCCAGGCAAAUCAAUCGAGUGUCUGCUCUAUCAACUGUGGAUGGUAGGGUAAUUGCCUACCAUGGUGGUGACGGGUAACGGGGAGUUAGGGCUCGACUCCGGAGAACAAGCCUGAGAAACGGCUAGUAGGACUAAGGUCUGCAGCAGGCGCGAAACUUACACAAUGCUAGAUUACCAAUAGCGAUGUAGUGAAGAAAAAUAACGAUGUACUUGCUUUCAAAAAGGCUAGUACAAUUGGAAUGAGACGACUUUAAACCGGUCAGUCGAGUAACAAAUGGAGGGCAAGUCUGGUGCCAGCAGCCGCGGUAAUUCCAGCUCCAUUAGCAUACAUUAAAGUUGUUGCGGUUAAAAAGCUCGUAGUUGAAUUUUAGGCGGGCUCUAUUGGGGCGCAGCCGAUAAAGGUUCGGUCGACUUCGGUCUUCCGGGCUGGUUGCGCUUUCCCAUUAGGAACCCGUUGUUUCGUCACUUAAUCGAGUGCGAAGCGGGCUGGUAUAUAGCGCUCCGGCGCUCGUAUAGCAGCAUGUUUACCUUGAGAAAAUUAGAGUGCUCAGAGCAGGCAGUUGGGGUGUAAAAGCCCCUUUAUGCUUGAAUAAUGUUGCAUGGAAUAAUAGAAUACGGCCUCGGUUCUAUUCUGUUGGUCUUAUAGAACAACAAAUAAGUUGGUUAGGGCGACAAAAAGUCGGCCUUGGGCGUGGUUCUUCGUGUACUGUUGUCUGGGGCCUUAAAAUCUCAGUACCUUGCGCGAUUUAUCAUUAAAGCGCCCUUGGUUAGGCUAGCUCUUCAAUCAACUGAGGCAAUGGUUAAAAGAAAUAGUCGCGGCGGCAUCAGUACUGCAUCGUGAGAGGUGAAAUUCUUAGACCGAUGCAAGACUAACUGAAGCGAAAGCGUUUGCCGAGGAUAUUUUCAUUAAUCAAGAACGAAAGUUAGAGGUUCGAAGGCGAUCAGAUACCGCCCUAGUUCUAACCAUAAACGUUGCCAACUAGCAAUUGGGUUGCGAUUCCUUUAACCAAGGCGUAAAAACCUUGGUCAUUAUGAUCCACCCAGCGGCUCUCGUAGGGAAACCAAAGUGUUUGGGUUCCGGGGGAAGUAUGAUUGCAAAGUUGAAACUUAAAGGAAUUGACGGAAGGGCACCACCAGGAGUGGAGCCUGCGGCUUAAUUUGACUCAACACGGGGAAACUUACUAGAUUAGAACUCUGGAAUGAUUGACAGAUUGAUAGCUCUUUCUUGAUUCAGAGGAUGGUGGUGCAUGGCCGUUCUUGAUUCGUAUUCCGAAACGUCUGCUUAAUUGCGAUAACGAGUGAGACCUCACCCAACUAACUAGUCGUUCGGUGCGCUGUGGGACACAAAAGUCCUUGCAGGGUUCGGCAGCAAGUGCUGGCUUCGGUCAGUGUCUACUGCUUCCUGUAUGGAUGUCCUCUGCUCGCCUGCGGACUUCUUAGAGGGAUAAACGGUGUUUUAGCCGUAAGAAACGAG
rnacentral:rRNA from 1 species